rnacentral:lncRNA from 1 species
ACCUGUGUAUUCAGACACAUUUAAACAUCAGUUUCAUGUUAUUUGCUAGACUAUGUGGUUGUAAUAUGCAUCUUCUUUGUCCUUCUUAUGCAGCGUAAUCAUUCAACAAGCAAAUCUUAUUAGUACUAGAGUCAUCUCUGGAGCUGGAAGAGCUCGAGUUCGACCCUUCUUAUGCAGUGUAAUCGUUCAACCAGAGAAGUUCAAGUGGUGUACUAUUGUUUUGUAAAUUGGGAAUCAUCCUUGACUGUUCUAUGGAAGUUGUCUAUUGGUGGCAGCAGGAUUUUAUAUUUAAGACUGAACCAUUGAACUUACCUUGGUUCCUCUCUUGGGUCCAAUCGGUGGUGGCUUAGGUUUUGGAGCUUCACCUUCAGCUGGUUUUGUGGUGGUAGUAGGUGUUGCUGCGGCGGUGGCAGGUGGUGCUGGUGUUGCAUCCUCCUCAGCUGCCCUCACAACAAGCCUUGGAUUAUUGUUCUUUGAAGGGAAGAAUACCAAGUUGCUGCUCCUAGAACCUGAAUUGGUAUUGGCUGCAACAUUAGGAGUUAACAAGAAACCUGAAGCAGCAGAUGCCAUGCUGCAGCUAGCCAUGUUCUGCCUCACUACUCACUCUCUCUCCCUC